rnacentral:lncRNA from 1 species
UUUUAAUCAUUGUUGGGGGGGAGAUUUUUUUUUUUAGUUUGAGUUUUCCUCGGCAAAUAGUCGUUUUACGCUUAAAAUAUUAUACUUAGCUUUCGAAUUCGAAGUUCCGAGAAGAUAGUCACUCAAAUUUUCUUAAGUUUGUCGUUCGUAUUCGAAGAAAUCACUGCUUUCAAGCUCGCUUUGUUCUCAGUUUGCUGUCUCAAGAAAGGUAACCUCAUUUACCUUAACUCGUUUUAGCUGGUGUUUUAUUUCUAAUUAAAAGUUUACUGUUGAACUCUUGAGGUAAAUUUAUACUUUGGGCGUGGUUGAUCAAUAUUAUGUGUCCUCUUGCUUGAGCAUUCUGUUGAAAAAAUGGUAUUGAUUGAGUGCAUUAUAAUUAUUGUUCAUAUUGUUGACGAUUUGAGUUAUGUAAAACCAGUUAUUCAAUGGAAAAUAUUUUGACGUAAAGGGGGGGCUCACUUUUGUUUGUUUUAUUAGUCUAUGUUCAUACCCAAAUCUUCUUUGAGGGUUUUGGUGUUACUUUACCAAUUGAAGGCAUUCGAAUCUUACAGUGAUGUCUUUUCCAUGUAGGAUAUUUUUCUCUAAUCUCGUAUCUUAUUUUCUCACUCUGGAAUGAUAUUACUAUAAGCCAGAAUGCUUUAGAAUGAUAGCUUCUCUUUUGUUCAAAAUUACAAAGCUAUGUUCUCUGCAAAGUUUCAUUUCUUAAAUCUAGUUUUUUUUUUAUUGAGCAUGUUGCAAUAAGUUUCUCUGUACUGCAUUUCCAGCAUCUAUUUUUGUCUAUUCGGUUUAUUCUCUCCUUCUAUUAGUUGUAUAGUUCUUUACUUUCUUUAAAAAUGUCCUUGCGGGCUACUAUGGUUAAUUCUUGCUGUGAUGUGAAGUUAGACCGGCGAUAUUAAGUUGUAAAGGAUAAUAUUUUUCUCUUGAUUCAUGCUCAGUCAAAGUCUCUUUGUUUAGUUCGGGUGAUUCUCUAUGUAGCAAUUUGUGAUAUUUAGUUUGGUACCAACACUUCAUAAAUUUAUCAUUUCAUGUUUUACUUUAGAUUUUCCUGUCUAUUAUGGUGUAAGAAAUGUUCUAUUUAUAUAGAUACUUACUAAUAUAUUUGUUACUCAAUAGUUGCCGUAACUCAUAUAUAACAAUAAUAUUUCUUCAGUUUUUGCGUAUUUGUUUUAUAAUUGAUAGAUAGUAUUCUGCUUGCUCCAUUCCUU